rnacentral:rRNA from 1 species
UACGUAGGGUCCGAGCGUUGUCCGGAAUUACUGGGCGUAAAGAGCUCGUAGGUGGUUUGUCGCGUUGUUCGUGAAAACUCACAGCUCAACUGUGGGCGUGCGGGCGAUACGGGCAGACUAGAGUACUGCAGGGGGAGACUGGAAUUCCUGGUGUAGCGGUGAAAUGCGCAGAUAUCAGGAGGAACACCGGUGGCGAAGGCGGAUCUCUGUCGGCUACCUGACGCUGAGGAGCGAAAAGCGUGGGGGAGCGAAACAGG